rnacentral:rRNA from 1 species
GCCUAGCCUUAACACAGCAAUAAAACCACCAAUUGUCCGCCAAAUAACUACGAGUAAUAACUUAAAAUUUAAAAGACUUGCCGGUACCCCACAACAACCUAGAGGAGCCUGUUUAAUAAAUGAUACUCCACAAUUAACCCUACCUACCAUAGCCAAACAGUCUAUAUACCGCCGUCGCCAGCCCACCUCGUGAGAGAAUAAAAGUGAGCCAAACAGAUCCCACUAAUACGACAGGUCAAGGUGUAACUAAUGGGUGGGACCAAGAUGGGCUACAUUUUCUUACCAGAAUAUACGAAUUAACUAUGAAAAAGGAACUGAAGGCGGAUUUAGCAGUAUAUUAAGAACAAAAUACUUAAUUGAAACCAAUGCAAUGGGGUGCGCACACACCGCCCGUCAUCCCUGCAACCAAAAAAAUCUAUUCAUAAUAACAUACUAAUAUAAACCAGGGCAAGUCGUAACAUGGUAAGUGUACUGGAAAGUGCACUUAGAAACAAAAAGUAGCUUACAAAAAGCAUUCGACUUACAACCGAACGACAUUACACUAAUCUUUUUGAGCCAAAACUAAUAUACAAAUAUAUAUAUAAUAAAAAAACAAAACAUUUGACCACCUAAGUAGAUGAGAUCGAACAGUAAAUACACCUAGUACCGCAAGGGAAACAAUAAAGCAAUAAAAAGCAAAGAUUA